rnacentral:misc_RNA from 1 species
GAACGUCGAACGGAGACGAGCAAGCGACGAAGAAGAACAGGGGAGAUAUGCGACAAAAGCAGUUUGCCCGACGCGACAAUGGCGAGACUGUAGCGACACAGAGGGCACGAGUUUGAGGACUCCUUGCUUGUAUGAGUUCCAUCAGCGCCUAUAAAUACAUGGCGUUCGCGAACCGGGACUUGAAUGCCGUCAUCAACACCAGAUUCUGUGUAGUCCUGAAGACGAGGCCCGGAAAGCUGUCGCAAGCCGACUUUUUGUGGAUCAGCCUCUCAUGCUCGAGAUAUACAAGGAGCAGCUGAAAUCGAGAGCAGGCAGCCGAUCGACACAAGUCUGGGAGGCGUCUGCGCGUCGGCGUCUGUAGACGCACUCUCGAGGGCGGGCGGCGCGCCACAACCGUCCACCGUCGAUGGCAGCGUUUGCCCUAGCCACGUGUCGAAGCGCUGUUGUUUGCAACGUUCGGGUCGCGCAUAUUAUGCGCAUUCCAGUUGAAAACUGGCAAGAGAGCAAAGAUUUUCGCGGAAAAUCUGAAGUACAUUUCAUUCGGAGCUUUAAAGUCGGCGUCGGUGCGUGAACCGGUGGAUCGCUUGUUCGUACGGCGCACCAGGUGGCGGAUGCGGUUGGCGGCGGACCCACGAGGCACACCUUGGAAACGCAGCAAUAGAUAUACCAGGAGACGCCUCUCCGAGAAGGAAACUACGUUAGUCUGUGUGUCCGAUAGAGUGGAGGUCAACUUCGGAGUCCGGCUCGGUCAGGCUGGGCUCGGUUCCGUUCGUCAGCUUGGCUGACGCAGAGGGACUCGAAGCAGGCGUUGUAGAACUGCCGGGACUCGGAGUGAUUCUUUGGCAGAGUGAUCUGCCAUGAACCACCAUGUCGUGGGUUCAUGCUCUUCACUAGUGAAUAGUUCUCCGAAGAACCCGCAGUUGAAUCAAAGUCCGCCAGAAACUCCCCGGAUUACCAGUCUAGUCUCAAUCGCAGAAACGGAUUCACAGGUAGCACCAGGUGACGCGUUGCAGCCGCCCAAACCUGUAUCUGCACAGCGGCUGAGUACAGGUCGCAGACCGAGGACUAGAGCGUCGGACGACGAGCAACAACUUGCGACACCGGUCCAACGGAAACUGGAGGCGUCCGAAACAGUUUGGCGAAAGCGCGCCUCGAAACCCUCGUCUGACUCUAUAAGACAAGCCAUUGCAGAUUUGCAUACAAGUGGCGCGCUCAGUGAGCGCGAAUGGAAAGAACUCGAAAGCACGGAAUCGCUCGUUGAGGACCUUGAACGAGUGCUGCAACACCUUGAGACAGCAGCACGAGAGCGAGUCCUGGAAAAUACAGAUCUUGCAAUGGUUCUCCACGAACGUCUGCCGCUCUUAGAGCAGCACCUGUCCGCGGAUGAGUCCUCGGACAGAUUUCCCGCACCAUCGUGAGAAUCCCCACAUCCGUUUGGCGCCCCAAGUCGUGAACCCUGGUUAUGAUGGUCGUCAUCGGCAGCGCUGAACGCCCGAGGAAGCAGUCGGAGACCAGCAUGCUCGGAAGCGUUUGAAAUUCCGCGACGAUGCAGGCAGGGGUCCCUGCGGUUUGUUCCGCCGAGGGUAUGCCUCGCGUUUUUCGGUGAACCACACGCGAGCGUAUCACGCUGAACGCGGCUUUGCCGUGGUGAACCCACGUUUCCGAAUAGCGUGUUUCGUUUCCGGUGUGCAAUUGUUUGCGUCGUCCCUGAUUCAGGAGACGGCAAAGGCCGGCUUUCAGGGGCCACCUCUCUGGCAACCAGACAGACUAUGGACGCUCUCAUUGACGUGCUCGUGUUCCAUAUGAAGUUGGACUUGUCAAGGAGUCGGUAGAAUUGCGUAGACGGCUUCGCGACAUCCUGCGUGUCGUUCUGGCUCUGCAAGGAAUUUGCAACGACCCGCGUUUCUCGAUUAAGACGCGGCUCCGAACUGGUGUACUUGUUAAACGUGCGUCCCGGAGCCGUUACCAUUAAAUAUAUCGGAAACAGCGCGCGUCGAUGCCAUUGAAUUGCAACGAAGAUAAAAAACAACGCUGACGAGCACUCAUGCAGGAAGGUUGUACCUUUCGGCAGCUCACGAGUAUCCACCAGAUUGCUUCGAACCUGCAGCGAUGCAGACAGUGGCGACGUGCCGUUCGCUCGGAAAACUGCAACAAUACCGCUCACCAACACCAUGCGCUCCGAAAGUGGCAAGUGAAGCUUGCAAAAAAGUCUCGUGGCUUGUGGCAACGCGCAGGUACAGACGGCAUCCGCGCUUCUCGCUUCGACUGGCAGAUUCGUGUUGUUCGCUGCGCGCUGAGAGAUCUCUGGGAAGCGCCUUGUUUAGGAUCUCAGGGUGCUGUCCGCAGCUGCAUUUCUCAGCCCCUUUGAAAGUCACGCUCUACGCAAAUUCAGAAACAGCCAAGUAUUCCAAUCGCUGUGUCUUGGUCGCAUCACAGUGACUGGUGCGUAGGCGCCCCCAGCUAAA